rnacentral:rRNA from 1 species
UACGUAGGGUGCAAGCGUUGUCCGGAAUUAUUGGGCGUAAAGAGCUCGUAGGCGGUCUGUUGCGUCGGCUGUGAAAACCCGGGGCUCAACCCCGGGCCUGCAGCCGAUACGGGCAGGCUAGAGUUCGGUAGGGGAGACUGGAAUUCCUGGUGUAGCGGUGAAAUGCGCAGAUAUCAGGAGGAACACCGGUGGCGAAGGCGGGUCUCUGGGCCGAUACUGACGCUGAGGAGCGAAAGCGUGGGGAGCGAACAGG